GAUCAACGCUGGCGGCGUGCUUAACACAUGCAAGUCGAACGAAGUUUUUCCUUCGGGAGAAACUUAGUGGCGGACGGGUGAGUAACGCGUGGGUAACCUGCCCUGUACAGGGGGACAACAGCUGUAAACGGCUGCUAAUACCGCAUAAGCCCUUAGCACUGCAUGGUGCAUAGGGAAAAGGAGCAAUCCGGUACAGGAUGGACCCGCGUCUGAUUAGCCAGUUGGCAGGGUAACGGCCUACCAAAGCGACGAUCAGUAGCCGAUCUGAGAGGAUGUACGGCCACAUUGGGACUGAGACACGGCCCAGACUCCUACGGGAGGCAGCAGUGGGGAAUAUUGCACAAUGGAGGAAACUCUGAUGCAGCGACGCCGCGUGAGUGAAGAAGUAUUUCGGUAUGUAAAGCUCUAUCAGCAGGGAAGAAAAUGACGGUACCUGACUAAGAAGCACCGGCUAAAUACGUG
rnacentral:rRNA from 1 species